rnacentral:rRNA from 1 species
GACGAACGCUGGCGGCGUGCUUAACACAUGCAAGUCGAACGGAAAGGCCCUGCUUUUGUGUGGUGCUCGAGUGGCGAACGGGUGAGUAACACGUGAGUAACCUGCCCUUGACUUUGGGAUAACUUCAGGAAACUGGUGCUAAUACCGGAUAGGAGCUCCUGCUGCAUGGUGGGGGUUGGAAAGUUUCGGCGGUUGGGGAUGGACUCGCGGCUUAUCAGCUUGUUGGUGGGGUAGUGGCUUACCAAGGCUUUGACGGGUAGCCGGCCUGAGAGGGUGACCGGCCACAUUGGGACUGAGAUACGGCCCAGACUCCUACGGGAGGCAGCAGUGGGGAAUAUUGCACAAUGGGCGGAAGCCUGAUGCAGCAACGCCGCGUGCGGGAUGACGGCCUUCGGGUUGUAAACCGCUUUCGCCUGUGACGAAGCGUGAGUGACGGUAAUGGGUAAAGAAGCACCGGCUAACUACGUG